UGUUGAUUUUCUGGAGACGCUCCAGUUUACUAUGGAGUGUAGUUGGGGAGCCCUGGUUUCCACUCUCUCGUCGCAGUCGCUGAGGUCUGCCCAUCUCCAAGGGCACCGGUGUUUCUGCAGUUUGGCCUGGUGAACAUCAACUUCAUCACUUGUGGCUCCGCUGCAGCAGGAGUUGCUCGAGGGUUUGCUGGGAGGCUUAGAUGCCAAUGCAAUUUUGGUCGGCUCCCGAGGAUGUUGGCCUGUAGUAUAGGUUGAGGCCUGAUGUACCUGUGAGUUUCUUCAUAUUUUGUUAGGCAUGUGAGCUAUUUCAUCUCCUCUUAUAAAGUCUGAAUGAGUGUUAUUUCUAUAUUGGAAUGCAAAUGCAAUAGUGAAGUAAUUCUUGCUCUGAA